rnacentral:lncRNA from 10 species
GUCUGGAGCCAGGGGUCUUGCCAUGAAGGACAUUCAAGCAGUUCUGAGGAGAGGCCCAAGUGAAGAGGAACCAGUUGCCAGCACCACCCUGUCAGCUAUUACAUGUGAGAUAUGAUGAUUUAUCAUUGAAGAUUUAGGAUGAUGGGCAGAGAAAGGCAAUCUGUUUUGUCUAUUGUCCAAUCAGUGCACGUGAAGAUUUGUUACAGUAUCCAGUUAACACUGAAUCACUAAGGUUUUAUCCAGGAAUAGUACUCAAAGUGCUCAGAUGUUCCUUUAAAUUCAUUUACCUGGGUAACUGCUGAAAGAGAGGCGACUACUGCUGGUAUCUUUAUCUAUGACGUUGAAGUCCCAGUGUUUAUAUAUCCUGAGCAUGGCUGCAUACGUGUACCAGCUUGAGUGAGCAAAAAGGAUGUUCUCAAAUCCAGGAAGAACCUACAGCCAGAAUCAUAGUGGAUUACACAGAUGUACAUAGCUAACUGACUGCAAUUGUCUUAAGUGUAAGAGGCAUACAGGGAUUGUGCCAUUUCAGGGUUAUGAUUCUUCUUUCACAGCUUCUUCUGUGCUGUAUCUAGAACAAAAGCAUAAGUGUGAUAGUGACCUAACUGUGAUACAAGACCUAAACAUGUCAAGGAGAGACUAUCCAAAUGCAUUUUGUGUAAAACCACAAUGUUUCACAAAGUCAAUAAAGGUAG